rnacentral:rRNA from 1 species
GGGUAACAUAGAGUGCUUGCACUCUGAUGACGACCGGCGCACGGGUGAGUAACGCGUAUACAAUCUGCCUCAUACUAGGGGAUAGCCCAGAGAAAUUUGGAUUAAUACCCUAUAGUAUCAUUUAGAGUCAUCUCUUAAUGAUUAAAGGUUACGGUAUGAGAUGAGUAUGCGUUCUAUUAGUUAGUAGGUGAGGUAACGGCUCACCUAGACCACGAUAGAUAGGGGCCCUGAGAGGGGGAUCCCCCACACUGGUACUGAGACACGGACCAGACUCCUACGGGAGGCAGCAGUGAGGAAUAUUAGACAAUGGGCGAAAGCCUGAUCUAGCCAUGCCGCGUGCAGGAUGACGGCCCUAUGGGUUGUAAACUGCUUUUAUACAGGAAGAAAAAACUCUACGUGUAGAGUCUUGACGGUACUGUAAGAAUAAGGAUCG